rnacentral:rRNA from 1 species
UACGGAGGAUCCAAGCGUUAUCCGGAUUUAUUGGGUUUAAAGGGUGCGUAGGUGGCUUAUUAAGUCAGGGGUGAAAGCCCAGAGCUCAACUCUGGAACUGCCUUUGAGACUGAGAGGCUUGAGUACGGGAGAGGUGAGUGGAAUUCCCAGUGUAGAGGUGAAAUUCGUAGAUAUUGGGAAGAACACCGGUGGCGAAGGCGGCUCACUGGCCCGAAACUGACGCUCAUGCACGACAGCGUGGGGAUCAAACAGG